rnacentral:rRNA from 1 species
AAAACGACUCUCGGCAACGGAUAUCUCGGCUCUCGCAUCGAUGAAGAACGUAGCAAACUGCGAUACAUGGUGUGAAUUGCAGAAUCCCGUGAACCAUCGAGUCUUUGAACGCAAGUUGCGCCCGAAGCCAUCAGGCCGAGGGCACGUCUGCCUGGGCGUCACGC